GAAACCGGAGGCAACCAUCACCUAGAGAUAUUCGUUUAGCACAAAACAGGCAUACUAUUCAAUUCCCUUUCGUUCCAGAAGCAUGGAUCUAAUUGACAAGGCGAAGAAUUUUGUGUCGGAGAAGAUAGCCAACAUGGAGAAACCGGAGGCAACCAUCACCGACGUCGAUCUUAAGGGGAUCGGUUUCGACGGCCUUGCUUUUCACGCUAAAGUCUCCGUUAAGAACCCUUACUCUGUUCCUAUUCCAAUCAUGGAGAUCGAUUACGUCCUCAAAAGCGCCACCAGGGUAAUCGCAUCAGGAAGAAUUCCAGACCCAGGGAGCAUAAAGGCAAAUGACUCAACCAUGUUAGAUGUGCCAGUGAAGGUUCCUCACAGUGUGCUAGUGAGUUUGGUUAGGGACAUUGGAGGAGAUUGGGACGUCGAUUAUACCCUGGAAUUGGGUCUCAUUAUUGAUAUUCCGGUCAUUGGCAACAUCACCAUUCCCCUCUCUUAUAGCGGCGAGUAUAAGCUUCCUACAUUGUCAGAUUUAUGGAAGGGUGGAAAAGAAGAAGAGAAAAAAGAAGAUGAAGAGGAGAAAGAAGAUCCAUCAAAGGUUGUUGAGAUAUGAAGAGUUAUACCUAUCUAAUAAUGUGGCUUUAAUAUGCCUAGUUUCUCUUCUGUUGUUUUAAUAACAUAAAGUUUGUUUACCUUAUAAGUAUCAUUUCAAGGAUACAAAAUGCACAACUUUAUGAAACUCACAUUACUCUUAUCUCACCUGAUUUGAUGAUAUGAAGAUUUGAUGAUGUUAGGUUUAUGUGAUUGGAUUUAUAUGGUGGAAUUUAAAUUUUGAGUCUCAGAAUCUCAAUUGUGUCACAUAAAUUGACAUAAAAUAAUAAUAAAA
rnacentral:misc_RNA from 1 species